CGCGAAUGGCUCAUUACAACAGCUAUAGUUUAUUGGAUGUUUACGUUCCUACAAGGACACCUGCGGUAAUUCUGGAGCUAAUACUUGCGAAAUGCGACAACCUCACGGGAGUCGUGCAUUUAUUAGAUUAAACCAAUCGGUCCUUCGGGACCGCCAUUUGGUGAACUCUGAAUAACUUAGCUGAUCGCACAGUCUCGUACUGGCGACAAAUCUUUCAAGUGUCUGCCUUAUCAACUUUCGAUGGUAGUUUAUACGACUACCAUGGUUGUAACGGGUAACGGAGAAUAAGGGUUCGACUCCGGAGAGGGAGCCUGAGAAACGGCUACCACAUCCAAGGAAGGCAGCAGGCGCGCAAAUUACCCACUCGCAGAACGCGGAGGUAGUGACGAAAAAUAACGAGGUGGCUCUCUAUGAGGUCCAUCAUCGGAAUGGGUACAAUUUAAAUCCUUUAACGAGGAUCUAUUGGAGGGCAAGUCUGGUGCCAGCAGCCGCGGUAAUUCCAGCU
rnacentral:rRNA from 1 species